CUGGCGAAGCUGUAGGCACAAGAAAUACCUGCAAGACAGAGGAGAAAGAAACAACCAAAGAGAAGUAAGAACAAAGAAAGGGUUACCUAUGGCAGAUGAUGAGAAAUAUGGCAGAAUUCAUCAGGAUGCAUGUAACUGGAAAACUUGGCUCUUGCUGCCUGAAUGACUACCUAAACUACAAGGAUGAAGGUGAAGGUGGGAUGGCAAAAAGUACUGUAAAACACUUUGCAAUUUUCUGAAGAGAAGUUUGUCACUGAAAUUCAAAGCAAACUCAAGAAAUAAAAAUUGCUUUGAUAGUUGUAUCUCCAUCAGUCUACUAGGAUUCACAGAGAAACCAUCAUGUCAUAGAAGCAAAAGGAAAAAAAUCAACCUACUUCUACAGAAAUAAAUUACAGCUCAGUGCACUAAAAGCCAAUGCAUGUCGGUGCAAGUCAUGUAAUUUUCUGGAUCACCAUACUAUUAAUAAUUUAUUUUUUUAAAUCACUACCUUCAUAAAUAUUCCAAAUAUUUAUCUCACAUGGGCUACAAAUAAAAAACCCAAAUAAUAUCAAAGAAAACUUCUAACAUCUGAAAAAAUAUACAUGAAAAUCCAAAACGAGGUCAUGUGUACUUCAACUGCCUAAAACAAAGCAAAAAAGCUCCCAAAUAAAGUUGUUUAUUUCUUGUCAUACUAUUGAUCUGAAGCUCAGCAGAAGCCUGAUCUGCAUUUCACAGUUGGUUGGGACACAUCAUUCAUGCUUGCUGCUUUCAACAUAUAAGAUUUGUUGAUAUAAAAGCUUUAAAGAAGUAAAAUCCUAGCUGGAACAGUUAUUCAUACU